GCCUGGGUGGCUCAGUCGGUUGAGCGUCCGACUUCAGCUCAGGUCAUGAUCUCACAGUUCGUGAGUUCGAGCCCCGCGUCAGGCU
rnacentral:tRNA from 1 species